AUGUUGCUGUCAUCCAAAAGCUUUUCACUUAAUUUUGAAGAUGGAAAGCGUUUGGCACAGCUGAGUAUUGGCACCAGGGGGGACCAUGACCGGAUGAGUACCGGCAAUCAAGAUGAGUAUAGAUUCCAGCACAGAACCAAAUGCUACCAGAAUUGUUGUAGUAGCAAUGAAACUGUAAGCAGCCUUUGGGUUUUUGUGUUUUACAGGUGGCCUGCACUAUUUAAACUGCCAGUCCACUAUGACCAAGCCUCUUGCAGAAGGAGGUCGCAUUCAAGUGGUUUCAGAUGGAAGCUACCUUGGCAACGCUUUUGGACCCUGAGUCACUACAUGCCUUUCCAUUUUGUUUCGCCCCUUCUCCCCAUGAAUUCAGUCAUUGUUUGGCUUUUCAGGGGAGGCAUAAAUGGUGGCUAUAUUACAGCAUUUUUCUUUGUCCUCAUUUUUAGGAAGUAAAGCUGGAUAUCUGCAGUCAAGGUCAAGUGGGUAAGGUGAGCAGUGACUGGUAGACAGACUGAGUUGUUAUUGCUUGGGUGCCACAUUCUGGUGCAACUCUAAGCAUCCAUUGUCAUCUGUGUUUUAGGAGGUCCACUGGUAUUAGGCCAAGGCCCCCUCACCAACUGGCCAACAGACCUGGUUCACCACUCUUGUGAGCCCUCUGGAAGAAUUACAGAGCUCUGUGAUGAAGCCUUUACAUUUCCCAUUUGAAGGUACCAUCUGGGUAGCCUUUGGGAACCACUGAGGAGUUGCAGCAAGUUGGGGAUGUUGAGAGAAGGAGUGAGGGUCUGCUCAAAUUUCAGCGAUGCCUCGUAUCCUAAUCUCCUCUUAACGCAGGCAUACACUGUGACAUGGACAUCAGCCUCCAAGUGUGGCUGAAGCGUACAGCCUGAGGACCCGGGCAUUCUCAGGAGACAGCGAGUAGCUGAAUUGUUGGGUUUUGGCUGAUGUGCUGCUAAGAUCACACAUUGAUGUUUGAUUUUCUUUAUUGUAGCUGACUAAGAGACAGCAGCCUGAUGCUGGCAGGAACUUUUCAGACAUUGAGGCAGACUUCUUUUGCACAUAAUGUGGAUUUGCAUCCCCAGAUAUCCCAGAGAUAAGUCAAGGGCUAUGACCCACAGAGUGGAUAAAAGCCGGGUGCCGAGAGGGAUUUUUGAGUCAGCUUUGGAGAUGGGGAUGUCCCAGAAAUAGCCCCUUAUGCCACAUAAAGGGAAAGUCUCACUUCUGAUCACAAUGCAGAGGUGCACAUGACAGAGCACCUCUGGGUGUCUGUUGUGUCCCGGGGUAUGUUGUGUCAGUUGUCUAUUGUGCAUUCUGUGUGUUUUGGGCAUGCUGUGUUGCACAUCUCUUGCUCUGGCCCUUUGAGGGGCCUGUUGGAAACCCUGGCAUCAUUCUUGGCAUCUCCAAUUUCCUUGGCCUGGUGCUGAUUCCAUUGAACCUUUGACUCGGGAGCUCGGACAGGCAUUGGAAUCGCAUCCCUCUUAAGAAGCACCUGGUCAGACAUCUUUUAAGGUCUUGUCCUGAGCUGCUCUAUUGACAGCUCUACACAGCAACAAUCCAUUAUAGUGGGUUAGGACUUAUACCAAUGCAAAGAUAGGCAGAGGAUUCUGAUUAUACGAUUCUCAGGCAUCCAUCUUUGUGAUUCUUGGAGUAAGUUGUUCUGUUAGCAUCUUCCUCCUCCAGGGUUCUCUGAGCCUCUUUGGCUCACUGUUGGUCUCACUUCCGUCAUCUCAUUCCACAUCCUCUAGGUCUUCGAGGUAAUUUUUCUUGCCGAGAGAUUUUUCUCCCUGUCGUGUCCCCUCAUUUAUCAUCCUGUGUGUCACAGGUAUCUGCAUGUAUUUGGCCCAGAGCUGCUCUGCCCUGCUGCAUAGCCUCACAUAGGUGUAAAAGGACAAGUUCUGGGCCCUUGAAAUGUGUAAUGUGUGAUGUAGUUGGACUCUAGAUGGUAUUCUAGAUUGACACAAGAUUUCUGGAUCUGUUCAGUUAUCCUGCUGAACCUUGACUUAACUUUCUUUCAGAUGCAGAUGGUUUAAAUCAGUGGCAGAGUGCCUCAUCCAGUCUGAGAGGGUUCCCCCAACAAGGUCAGUCACCAUUUGUCUUUGCAGUGGCAGCAUUAAUGGUGACUAUGUUGCAGCAUUGUUCCUUGUCUUUAUUUCUAGGAAGUAAAGCUGGAUAGCAGCAGUCAAGGUCAAGUGGGCAAGGUGAGCAGUGACUGGUGGACAGACUGAGUUGUUAUUGCUCGGGUCUCAAUUUUUGGUGCAAUUGUAAUCAUCCCCUGUUGUUUUUUUUUUUAUUUUAGAUGGUCCACUUACCAAAUAUCCUGGCCCAGGAUGCCAGAGUCCAGGUGGGUGCAAGCUUAAGGUAUAGGCAUGGUGUCCUGGUUUAGGGCAAAUUUAGGAGAGAACCUCCAAAUGUUUUUUGCCUGAGGAGCCGGCCUUCCAGCCUGGAGCUAUCGCCAUGGUCACCCGGCAGUCAUCGCUUCCUUCUCUAGGCCUACUGAGCUUCUUGAGCAUCACCUUAACAGCUUUGGCACUAACUUUUUCUAGGGAGUUAUGUUUCAUUAUCAUGUGCCAUUACCAUAGGGACUUAAUUCCUUGGGCAUCAUCAGCCUCUGGCUCAUCUUGCGCUAGGAAUCUUGGGUCCAUGAGGUGAAACUGCCAGGCAGUUUCAACUUGCAUCUCUUAUGUAGUCUGUGUCUGUUAUGUUGUUUGUGUCCAUUGUCUUCUGUGUCAUAGAGCUUCGUUACCUCUCAAUGCCUUAAGGGCAUCAUUCCAGGCUGUAUCACCUGUACUCUUCUAGCAUAUUUUCCGAGAUCACACUUAUUCUGGAAUUUUUUACCUUUUUACUUUUUGAGACUGGAGGAACUACACGAGAUGUUCUCAUCCAUCUUCCUUCUCAGCUUUGGUACUGCCUUCUCUUCAUGUGCCAUUCUCUUGGACUUCUGUAGGGAAAGUAUUAGGCCCAUUUCAGUGAGGGUGACCAUAGUAGUUCCACAGGUUCCAUCAUCUCAAAGCAUAUGGGGCUGGAGAGGUAAUAUUUUAGAGAGUUAUCUCAAGCCCUCACUUCUAUUGUACCUAUGCUGGCUUGUGUUGUAUAUGCUUACAUUGUAUGUACCUAUCUUGUGACAAUUGUGCUUGGAGCUGCCCUGCCGUGCACAUAGUCACUGUUAGGUAGAACAGUUCUAAAACUUUGAAGUUCAUCUCUUUUUCUAUGGGGUAUCUGAUAGAAAAUUUAUGAGCCCAGGGUAGAGCUAAGUCCUAGCUGUGAAACAAUCACUUGCUGACCAUCUUCUAUCAUCCCACAGGUCUCCAAGGUGGAUUUGUGUUGCUCUAUUAGGAACGGCAGGGAAUGAACAACACAGACUCUCUAGGGAGUCGAUCAGGAGAAUGUCUCGUAGUUUAUUACUUCAGCUCUGUUUUAUAGACUGAUAUGUGGAAAGUACAGAAAGAAAACUCUUAUUGGUUAGUAAACUACUACAUUACCAUCAUUGGUCAGUGGUGCACACUACCCCCUGACUUUCUCCUGCAAAGAAAACAAGAGACAGACAACAACAUCUGCAAGGCUGUUCUAUGUCUUUGAGGAUUGUUUGGAAUCCUCCCAUGAAUUUCUUGGGCUAGCUUCUCAGGCAGGACUAAGAGAGCUAUCCAGCCUGUAAUUUCUACAGGCUCUCUGUUUCAGAGUUAGACACAGAUUUGUAGUCCACAGAUUUAGAGUCCACAGAUUUGUACCUCUGCAAUUGCUGAUGCUACCAAUUUUCUGAGAAUCUACCAUUUGAUGUUGAGGAGCAGCAGCCAGAAGAUGUGUUGAAGCAUCUUGUUUAGUGUAGUGUUUCAAGUAAGGGUUGCAGUCAUUGUGUAAGCUAGAAGAUGUGUGACUGCAUGUAAGCAUGUGUUUCUGUCUGUGUCUGCUUGUGUGUGAGUGUGCAUGUGUGCUGACUGGUUCUAAUCUUUUGUUAUGAUUUUUGCCUUUCAAGUUUAAAAACUCAUUUUUAAAUUUAGAAUAAAUCCUUCCAGGGGUGAUUUUUUUUCCCCA
ensembl:lncRNA